CGGGGGCUAGUGAUUACAGUUGCCGUUGCUUUGGGAUGGGAUGUUGUCGUCACUCGUCAUGUUACUUAAGACGACGGUGGGUGAGAUAUUUUCAUGGCAGGUGAGUCUGGCCCAGCGGGUUCACGUGGCGUUCGGGAUUGGUCGACACGUGACGCAGGAACGACAAGUGGAACCCAGACCGGAGUGAGAAACUUAAAUGACAAGUUAUUGACAACUAAUAA
rnacentral:lncRNA from 1 species